GGUGAUUAUGACCCCAUGAACAGAAUUCUGCCAGCAGACUGAGGCUACUUGGAAAACUCACACCAGGCUAAUUCUAUGCCUUUCCACAUUUUUUUCUGCUGGGCUAAAAUGUUCACAGCUGAUGUUCAAAUACCACCAAUGAGAGAAACUUGCUGCUUGAGGCCCAAGUGUCUGAUGCCUCAGGUGCCAGGCUCUCACUUUAGUGACUGUUGUAGAAUGCGGGAAGGGGGACGGUAAGAGCUCCUCUAGAGUCCCUUUCUCCUAUUCAAGUUCGGUGAAGCUCCUUUUCCUUGUCCAGUGUCACGCAGGGAAUAAGUCCCAGAGUAUGAAUUAAUCCACAUCUUCUUAAUAGGCUGCUUGCCAUGCUACUGUGUUUUCAGAAACCAUGGUAUCCUAUAACAUAUGAAUCUAUGAGAUAAUGUGUAUGCUAGUGAUACUUAUGGGACAAAUUCUAUAUGUGAAAAUAGGCUUAAUUUCUGCAUUUGAGACCAAAAUUUCCCUAAUUCCUUUUAUUUCAAAGUGAUUCUAUAAUGUCAGGCCUCUCUGACCCACUUUUUGUAGGUUCUGUCCAUUUAUUUCAAGCCCCCAAGGGUUCCCGCAAGAAAAUGUAAAACCUCCCUUAUAUGUUUUAAAAAUUGGGCACUUCCAUAAAUUUGCUAUUUCAAUCCUGGCCUCCAUUUGUUUUCUAGGAUACUGGAGUCACUAGCAGAGACCUAAUUAGCCAGAGGAUAAAGGAAUAUAAUAAUCUAAUGAGCAAAGCAGACCAGUUGCCAAAAACACCUCGCCAGAGUCUCAGUAUCAGGCAGACUUUGCUUGGUGCUAUAUCAGAACCAAAACUUCAGAGUUCACACUCUCCAAAGAAGAGUCAGAAAGAAAACUCCUUAGUAAAGGUACAUGCUUCUAUUGGAGAAAUUUAACACAUUCCGUGAUUGACUACUUAUAAUAUGAAGUUCUAAAAAUAUUUUAACUUUAAAAAUUCUUUCCCAAAUAUUGUUUUUGCUAACCCUCAGUGGUUCAGUUUAUCUGGCUUGUAAGAGCCAUAGACCUUCCCCUUCAGGCUUAGGCUCAAAAGAUGUAGCUUGAUAGUAUAUAUAACAAAAAUUAAAAAG
rnacentral:lncRNA from 1 species